UAAAAUGAUGCUUGAAAAUGAUCAAUAUGUAUAUCAAUAUAUGCAGGAGUUGUGUGUUUAAAAUCAGCUCAAAAGACCUCUUUUUAUAAGUGAAAAAGUAGUGCUGACCGUUGCUUAAUUGACAAAUCAAAUCCCUGAUUCUGUUCUCAAACAAUCGAUUGUUUGGAGGUGACAAUCGAUUGUCUGACCAACGUUCAAAA
rnacentral:lncRNA from 1 species